CACGUAGGCACCAAGCGUUGUCCGGAUUUAUUGGGCGUAAAGAGCUCGUAGGCGGUUCAGUAAGUCAGGUGUGAAAUCUUUGGGCUUAACCCAAAGCGUGCACUUGAUACUGCUGUGACUUGAGUUCGGUAGGGGAGUGGGGAAUUCCUAGUGUAGCGGUGAAAUGCGCAGAUAUUAGGAGGAACACCGGUGGCGAAGGCGCCACUCUGGGCCGAAACUGACGCUGAGGAGCGAAAGCGUGGGUAGCAAACAGGAUUAG
rnacentral:rRNA from 1 species